GCUAACGGUUGAACCAGCAACUUGGAGGAAUGGAUAUCUAAAAAAUAGAUAGAAGGAACCAUGUUUCAUAUAAUUCUAGGUAAAAUGGGAGGACAUUUUAUUAUCUAAAAGUCUUGACCAAUUCACGUGCCAGCAGUCGCGGCAACACGUGUAAGACAAGUGUUAUUCAUCUUAAAUAGGUUUAAAGGGUACCUAAAUGGUUUACAAAUGGCCUCUGCUAAAGAAGUGCCACUGUAGGCUAGAGUGUAAUGUAAGAAUUUAGUAUGCUGAGAGUAGAGAUAAAAUUUAUUGAGUCCAUUUAAGACUGGCAAAGGCGAAAGCAAUUUUUUAUGUAAACACUGACGUAGAGGGACGAAGGCUUUGUACUAACGAACAGGAUUAGUUACCCUAGUAGUGGAGGCAGACAAUGAUGAGUGUCAUAUGUAAGUUUAAGAUUUAUAUAUAAAUGAAAGUGUAAACAUUUCACCUUAAGAGUAAUACGGCAACGUAUAAACUGAAAUCACUAGACCGUUUCUGACACCAGCAGUGAAGUAUGUUGUUUAAUUUGAUAGUCCACGGAAAACCUUACCACAAUUUGGAUAUUUAUAUAUUUUAGACGGUAUAUAAAUACAGGCGUUGCACGGCUGUUUCUAGUUAAUGUCGUGAGACAGUGGUUAAAUCCAUUAAAUUAACGUAAACCCUUACUUUAUUUACUAUAGAGUAUUUGAAUCUUUAAACGAUUUUAAAAAAAGGGAUUAAUACAA
rnacentral:rRNA from 1 species